GAUGAAGAACGUAGCGAAAUGCGAUAAGUAAUGUGAAUUGCAGAAUUCAGUGAAUCAUCGAAUCUUUGAACGCACCUUGCGCCCUUUGGCUAUUCCAGAGGGCAUGCCUGUUUGAGUAUCAUGAACACCUCAACUCUCAUGGUUCUGCCAUGAUGAGCUUGGACUUUGGAGGUCUUGCUGGCCCCUGUGGUCAGCUCCUCUCAAAUGGAUCAGCUUGCCAGUGUUUGGUGGCAUCACAGGUGUGAUAACUAUCUACGCUUGUGGUUUUCCACCAGGUAACCUUCAGUGAUGAAGGUUCGCUGGAGCUCAUAAACGUCUCUCCUCAGCGAGGACAGCUUCUUGAACGUUUGAUCUCAAAUCAGGUAGGGCUACCCGCUGAACUUAAGCAUAUCAAUAAGCGGAGGA
rnacentral:misc_RNA from 1 species